rnacentral:tRNA from 1 species
CAGAGUAUAGCCCAACAAGAAAAGCAUCUCCCUUACACUGAGAAAAUAUUCGUGCAAAUCGAAUUACACUGA